AUUGAACGCUGGCGGCAGGCCUAACACAUGCAAGUCGAGCGGAGCGGCGGACGGGUGAGGAAUGCCUGGGAAUCUGCCUGGUAGUGGGGGAUACCGUCCGGAGACGGGCGCUAAUACCGCAUACGAUCAGAGCAGCCUAGGGUGUAUUAGCUAGUUGGUGGGGUAACGGCCUACCAAGGCGACGAUCCGUAACUGGUCUGAGAGGAUGAUCAGUCACACUGGAACUGAGACACGGUCCAGACUCCUACGGUAGGCAGCAGUGGGGAAUAUUGGGCAAUGGGCGAAAGCCUGAUCCAGCAAUGCCGCGUGUGUGAAGAAGGUCUUCGGAUUGUAAAGCACUUUAAGUUGGGAGGCGUUACCAACAGAAUAAGCAACGGCUAACUACGUGCCAGCAGCCGCGGUAAUUC
rnacentral:rRNA from 1 species